UACGUAGGGUCCGAGCGUUGUCCGGAGUUACUGGGCGUAAAGCGCGCGCAGGCGGCGGUGUUGGCCCGGCGUGAAAGCCCCCGGCUCAACCGGGGAGAGUCGUCGGGGACCGCACCGCUUGAGGGCGGUAGGGGCUGGUGGAAUGCCUGGUGUAGUGGUGAAAUGCGCAGAUAUCAGGAGGAACACCAAUGGCGAAGGCAGCUCGCUGGGACGGUACUGACGCUGAGACGCGAAAGCGUGGGGAGCAAACAGG
rnacentral:rRNA from 1 species